AACUCUUCAUUUUCAGUUUGUUCACUACUCUGCGACACCAUCUCUCAGUUUCAGUUUUGUCUUCACCACCUUAAUAUCGACCUCUUAUUUUCCAAGCUCAUUCUCAUUCUAACCCGAUUACUGCCACUUCGGCUCAAUUGCAUUCUAACUUGGUAUUCAUUAUUUCAAAGAGAGCAUUAGUCCCCAGACCAUUAGCUCGUAGCUCUACAAUAUUUAUGGCUCCACAGUUAGUUCAAUAGACUCGAUCCCCCACAGGUAAGUGUCUAGACCGUUGCGUUAUCAAAUGCUCGCUUUUUAUUUUCUUCGUUUUCAUGUUCGUAAUUUUCAUUGAGUUCAGUUAUGUUAAAGAGCCCCGCGUAGAUAGUUAUUCUCUUGAGUUUACCUUUUAUUCAUCAGUUCAUGUUAUUUAUUUGU
rnacentral:misc_RNA from 1 species